CAGCUAAAUCAACUUGUUUUGUCAAAUUGUGCUGGAUUUAUUGUUAUAAUCAGGUAGCUGUCAAGAAUGUCGUAGAAAAAGGCGCUU